rnacentral:tRNA from 1 species
AUUCAUAUAGUUUAUGAAGAAUAUUGCACUGAAGCUGCAAAAGAAGUGUUAGAACUUGUAAAU